rnacentral:lncRNA from 1 species
CUGGGAUAUAUAUUUGUAAAAACAAUCUUGAACUCGCAAAGAAAAGCAACAAAACUUCUGUUUUCUGAUUAUGCAAAGUGUCUUUGGUGGCAAAGACUUUGGCGAGGAUACCUUCAACGCAAUGGCUUAACGCAGUCCGGUGCCAACACAUUCAAGAUGCAGAUAUUUAAUGCGACCUAGCAGAACGUUGUCGCUAUUUCGGAACCUAACUACGAAUAUCGGAAAAGAAAA